CUUGACCUCUGUUGGUCAAGCACACAGCUCUAAGAGAACUGCACUUUUCACUUCUAAUAAGCAUUUAUAAUUGGGAAAUAAAGUGUGAUCUACCGCACUCACAGUGAACUUGGGUGGUCCUGGGGGAAAAGUAGCCAGCUCUAUUUUGUACAAUCACAAAACACUCUGGAAGGAACCACAGCAGUGGUUCUCUCCAGCACCCCCAUAACAGUGAAGGAAAUGAGGACACUUAGAGCUGGCCUGAUUUUAGCAUGAAAGUCUCCUGUGCUGGGAAGCCCCCUUGAUCCUGGAAUGGUUGGUCAGUUUAAGGUUAGGUCUCAAUUUUGGGUCCUCUGAUUACUGACUCAGUGAUGUUUGUCCCACCCAUCUUUGCUUUUUACUGAGAUUAUAGUUGUCCUACCACUGAAGACAAUUUUUAAAUAAUUGUAAGUGCUAAUUAUGCAUUCUCUGUCUAUUUAAAGGAUGAAAUAAAAUUUAGAGUUUUGGUUUCCCCAUAUGCUUUUUAGAGGAUUAUUCUCAUAUGAGACAUGCCCUAAAUAUUAUUUUACUUUAUUCUCUCCCUUUUUAUUCCUAGAAAGGCAUAAAUUUGUGUUGUUAUACAUGGCUUAGGCUGAUAACAAUCAGUAGACGGUUCAGAUAAACAAAAUGAAUUGGAGAGGUUAUGAGUUAUUUGCAAGUGUCACCGUGGAGACCAGAGAAUGGAUUGUCACCAUGGAGACUUGCAUAAACACUCUGCCUGUAAUGAUCUCCUUGUGAAAUCAGAUGCAGAAGAGAUUUGGGGAGGAGGGUGGAUUGACUCAAGGGUUGGACUCAGUUGGAAAAACACUUGACUUUUCCCCAUAAAUUCAAAUACCUCACAGAACACUUGUGGACAGCAUCCCAUGGGCACGCUGUUCUGUUACAAAACUGUGGAUAAGGCAUUCCUGGUGAUCCAGGAGGAAGCUUUGUGUUGGGUCAAGCAACCCUCUCUGAGAAGGAAUAGUAUUGUGCUUUGCCUGACAGCAAGGAUUAAUAGAAUGUAUUGUAAUCUUAAAAGAUGGCUGCAAGUAUCAAUCAUCUUGGAUAAAGUCCUUUGAUUCACAUCUCGUGGAAGAUUCCUUCACAAAUUAUUGAUACACAUCAUGGGAAUCAACCUGCAUUUUGUACUAAGGACUCAGCAGACAGCAAAGAACACGGGAGCUUCUUCUUCCUGAAGGAAAGCAGAGGACGAUGGAAAGCCCGCGGGAUCUGGACUAAGAACAGUUGUUUGAAUACCAAAUUGAGAAUAUGGGGGUAGUGUCCGGCACCAGGCAGGCAUGUUUUAACUGAUAGUUCAUUUCUUCCACUGCAUCUAACCCCUUGGCUGCUCUCUGAAUGUGAACAGAUCCCAGGCUGAACUUGUGGAAAUCAAAUAAAAAGCAGCUAAUAUGUUUUUAA